UCCCCGUUACCGAGGCAGUCUGAUUAGACAUAUACAACUAAUCAUGAGGGUUGCGCUCGUUGAAGGACUUAACCUGACAUCUCACGACACGAGCUGACGACGGCCAUGCAUCACCUGUCACCAGGUUCCUUGCGGCACAUCCCGAUUUCUCGGGACUUCCUGGGAUGUCAAACCUUGGUAAGGUUCUUCGCGUAGCCUCGAAUUAAACCACACGCUCCACCGCUUGUGCGGGUCCCCGUCAAUUCCUUUGAGUUUUAGCCUUGCGGCCGUACUCCCCAGGCGGGAUGCUUAACGCGUUAGCUUCGCUACCGAGAGGGUCGAUACUCCCGACAGCUAGCAUCCAUCGUUUACGGCGUGGACUAC
rnacentral:misc_RNA from 1 species